UGGCGACCGGCGCACGGUGAGUAACGCGUAUGCAACUUACCUAUCAGAGGGGGAUAGCCCGGCGAAAGUCGGAUUAAUACCCCAUGAAACAGGGGUCCCGCAUGGGAAUAUUUGUUAAAGAUUCAUCGCUGAUAGAUAGGCAUGCGUCCAUUAGGCAGUUGGCGGGGUAACGGCCCACCAAACCGACGAUGGAUAGGGGUUCUGAGAGGAAGGUCCCCCACAUUGGUACUGAGACACGGACCAA
rnacentral:rRNA from 1 species